AUUGAACGCUGGCGGCAGGCCUAACACAUGCAAGUCGAACGAGUGGCGGACGGGUGAGUAAUGUCUGGGAAACUGCCUGAUGGAGGGGGAUAACUACUGGAAACUGUCGCUAAUACCGCAUAACAUCAGAUGUGCCCAGAUGGGUUUAGCUAGUUGGUGGGGUAACGGCUCACCAAGGCGACGAGCCUUAGCUGGUCUGAGAGGAUGACCAGCCACACUGGAACUGAGACACGGUCCAGACUCCUACGGGGGGAAGCAGUGGGGAAUAUUGGACAAUGGGCGAAAGCCUGAUGCAGCCAUGCCGCGUGUAUGAAGAAGGCCUUCGGGUUGUAAAGUACUGUCAGCGGGGAGGCGUUACCCGCAGAAGAAGCACCGGCUAACUCCGUGCCAGCAGCCGCGGUAAUAC
rnacentral:rRNA from 1 species